UGAGAUAAAGCCAGUGUCUCCACUGAGUCCAUGAUUUUAAGUGUCUAGCAAAGUUAUGAAUUAAAGCUCUCAGGCUGGUCUGAUCUUUCCCAGACCUGAAGAAGAGCUCUGUGCAACUCAAAAGCUUGUCUCUCUUACCAACAGAAGUUAUACAGUAAUUAUAUGUGGUUGAGGUUUUCUUUUUAUGAGAAUGUCAGCUUAUUCAUGCUGGAUGCCAGAACCAUUUUAUAAUCAUGCCCUGCAGUUCCAAUCAACCAUAUCACUUUUAAGAAACUCCUUUUAUAAAUAUAAGAAUGACCCCAUCAAAAGCAUGUACUUAUUUCUAGGAGAGACGGAAAGGAGAGAGAAAACAAAAAAAAUAAUAAACUUUCAAGAAACCUAACACAUUUUCCACCUCACUCCCCAGAACAUUGGGAUUCCUAUUACUGAUGUCAACGCCUACUUAGUAUUUUACUUUCUUACAAUUUUUAAAUGACAUUUAUUUAAACAACUUUUAAUUUUAACUCAACCAAAUCUUGGAUCUGUGUUACAUCUCAGUGAUGGGUCUUAUAUUUCCUUCCCACUGUAACAUGGCUCUGCACUUGGCCCAGCUGAUCCCAAGGAUAGUUGGGUUUGGUGCAAAAAGAAUCAGCGUGUGCUUUGAAUGUAUUCUUAGUGGAAAGGAGAGAUGCAGGAGAUAAUGCAGUCCUUUGCAGAUUCUAAACCUCUCAUCUGGACCUCAGAGGUUACUGCAACAUUAGGGACUGGAGCUUUCUUGCUGAGGCUUUUGAGGAUUCACAGGGAGGCUUUUUUCUCCCAGAUUCCAUUUUGAUGUCCUUUGAGAGUGCAGCCCAUUGCCUCCUCCAGUUGUUAGUCAUCUGAGGUAGAUGUUGCCUCCUGCAUGGACCUGAGAAACACUGCACACCUCCCACUGCUUCCCUAGCAUUCUUCUCCAAUAUCUGAAACAGGGGCUGUAUUACAAUAUGAUUGCCCCUCUGGACAGAGUAGGCUUCUUUAGCCUUAAAGCCUGACUGAACCUGACAUUCCAAUGGGCUGUGUGUCUGGAUAACCACUAAUUAUAAAAGAAACCCAAAAAACAAAAAAACCCCACCAAAACUUAAAUCAGCAAAAUUUCUGGGCACAGACAAAUAGCAACACAAAUGGCCAAUUAGCUGCACUGGAACCAAAAAACUUCUUAUACCCAGAAUAAACCCUUCUUCUGAACAGGACAGUCUGCAUAAUCUACAAUCAGAAAGAACUUGAAUAUUGGCUGGGCUGGUCAGGUUCAAAGUACUAGUGCUUAUCCCCUUGAGCUAUCCAGCUGGUGUAAAGCUCUCAGGGUCUUGCUACCAUUUUGCCCUACUUCUGACCAGAAGACUAACACAAUGUAGCUUUCUCAGAAACCACCACCAAGGGUUAACUCUAAAAUGAUUAACAGGAAGAUGUUCAGACAGCUGUUCACCCUUUCCUUGAAAUCUAACUAUACUAUCUCAGACAUAUCCAAACCUCAUGGACCCAGAUCUGAGAAAUCAUCUGGUAGCUCUUGAAUCAAUUCUUUGUCCUAUAGCAGUAUAUCACAUUGCUUCACAAUCACACUGGUGUGAUUCUCAGCAAGUUAUUCAAAUAAUGGGUUCAUUUAGAUGUAUUAAUAAAAAAGUCUUUCCUAUAUGCCAUGUAAGUAAUGUGUGAAUUCUGUUAUGCAUCAGAUAAUUAACUGAGAUACCAGCUUUUGACCUUACACCGUGCUCUUCUUCAGGUCUUCAGCUCUGUGACCACUUGAAAGCUUGUCUCUCUCACUAACAGAAGUUGAUCCAGUAAAACAUAUUACCUCACCCACUUUGUCUCUCUAAUAUCCUAGAACCAAUACAGCUACAUCACUGAAUACAUAAUUAACUGACUUGAGAAAACAGUUUCCUCAUUGUAGCAAACCAAUGUAUACCCAGCUAUUUUAGAUGAGGAAUGUUCCUUUGGGCAGAAUGAGUGGAGGGUCAAUGGUUUCAUAGACCACCCACCCAGCUAAGGUCACCAUCUGGGUGUGAAAUUAAUAGAAAAUUGGUUAGCAGCAGCAUGCAGCAACAUUGUUACAGUUGAGAAGAAAUCUUGUGAUUAUCUAUCAAUGCCAUCAACUAGAGUACAUGUAACAAACAAAAAGCCAGAAAAAAAAAUCCUGUAGCUCAUUAAAUGGAGGACUUCAGUAGUUUAACUAAACC